UACGAAGGGUGCAAACGUUGCUCGGAAUCAUUGGGCGUAAAGCGCACGUAGGCGGCCCAGCAAGUUGGAUGUGAAAUCCCUCGGCUCAACCGAGGACGUGCAUCCAAAACUGCUGGGCUUGAGUACUGAAGAGGAUCGCGGAAUUCCCGGUGUAGAGGUGAAAUUCGUAGAUAUCGGGAGGAACACCUGUGGCGAAGGCGGCUCACUGGCUCAUUACUGACGCUCAGGCGCGACAGCGUGGGGAUCAAACAGG
rnacentral:rRNA from 1 species